AAGUCACAAACGCUCUGAAUGGGAAAGCCCAGAGGUGAGUAACGUAAGCGCCGAUCAGUGUGUCAUGUCUUCUGUUCAUACAGCUGAAAAAACACCAGAACGCCAUCCUGGAGACCUUGUUCCAGGCGUCGUUUGUGCCUACCAGCGCUCAGGUCAUGCGGAAGGGCAUGCAAUCACUGGCUGCUGUCUUGAAUCAUCUAGGGACAGAUGCAGGGCCCCUGGUUUGGGAUGUAGUCACACACAUCAGGACCUUCUUCAACCAUGUGAGGUGAGCAGCACUCCCCACCCCCAUUCCAGCGCUCUUCAUUCAGGGUCACUGCAGAGGUAAGAGAUGCACUUCCUGUCCCUUGUUGCAGUCCAAACUGGAAGAUCUUAAGUUCUGUGGAAAAGAUGAGUUUUCAGGAGGAAAAGCAAGUGAAGAGAAUGGGAUGAUGGGAGGGACUCUCAGGAGACUGGAUGAGGCUGUAGCUGAAGCUCUGUAGGGCUCUGGGGCUAUUCUCUGCUGUGUUGAUUCUCCUGAGUCGGAAGCAGAGCUGGGCGGAAACAAGUAAGCACAGGGGCUGGGGGAUCUGAUUUUGCUGGGAUUUGGAAUCGGAGCCCCCAGUGACGGCACGUUCAGGGAACGAGGCUUGCUGCUCCCCGAGCUCCACUAAGUGCACUGGCUCCCAGGCAGCCCACCUGGAACAGGAGCUGUCAUAGCCUACCUCCAUGGCAGACCCCCUGGCAGGCUGGAGACUAAAGGCUUCUGUCAUGGGCCUGGCACAGCUCCUGACAGAAGUUUUGGUUGUGACCACACUGGAGCUGUUCAGCCACAGGGCAAUGACAAUCUUCACUCAAUGGCUUUCGCCCUGUUCAGCGCCCUGGCAGGCUGCAUAUAGAGAAGAUGGCACACCUAUUAUCGGAAUUAAGUGAGGCAGUUUGGCAAUGCUCCUGUUUCACCUGGAGGACCCCAACCCACACGUGGCCAAGAUAAGAACCAGUGACACUGAUUUCCUCAGCCCUACCAUGUCUCCUCAGUCCAGGCCCAGGGGCACCCUAUGCUUUCUGCAUCCUGUGGUGAUCAUCACCUUCCCACUCAGGGGGCUUUAUCCAGGCACCUCCUUGAGCUUGGGGCUGCCUCUUUGGGUCCAGGGCAGGCUGCACAUCUACCACCCCUCCCCCCCAUGCAUGCAGAAAAUCUUCCUGCGUGGCUUUACUGAGGGGGAGAUGAGUGCUGUCUGCAGGUGCCACAUGAAAAGCAGGACAAGUCCUUCCUUUGCUCACAGCCAUUCCUUUGUGCCUAAUGCCAGUUACCCCCUGGCCAGGCCAUCCUGUUCCUGGCCUUGGCUGAGUCCUGGGUCAAGCGGGAACCCUUGGCCUCAGCUCAGCAGUCAGCAGGGAAUAAGACCUGGUGUGACUGUGUUGGUUCUUUUGUUUGUUUGUGUUUUUGGGGAGUUUUUUUUUUUUUCAGGAGUACAGAACAACAUGGGGCUGCCGCUGCCCUUACCUGGGCUUAAGGACGGUGCAGGCAGCCCUGGCCUUCCAUAUCCAGGGCUCAGACUGGGUGAAACAAGAGCAGCUGCUGAGGGACCUCUGCAGGCACUUGGAGGAAGAAAAUUUGAGCACCUGAAACAUGAGAUCCUGCUCCUGCCUUCGCUCGAGGUAAUUUGCAUCAUCACAGAGCCUCACCACAGAGCUCAGAGACAUCUCACCACAUAA
rnacentral:lncRNA from 1 species